rnacentral:rRNA from 1 species
AUACGGAGGAUGCGAGCGUUAUCCGGAUUUAUUGGGUUUAAAGGGAGCGUAGGUGGGAUAUUAAGUCAGCUGUGAAAGUUUGGGGCUCAACCUUAAAAUUGCAGUUGAUACUGGUUUCCUUGAGUACGGUACAGGUGGGCGGAAUUCGUGGUGUAGCGGUGAAAUGCUUAGAUAUCACGAAGAGCUCCGAUCGCGAAGGCAGCUCACCGGGCCGGAACUGACACUGAUGCUCGAAAGUGCGGGUAUCAAACAGGAUUAGAUACCCUGGUAGUCCGCACAGUAAACGAUGAAUACUCGCUGUUUGCGAUACACUGUAAGCGGCCAAGCGAAAGCGUUAAGUAUUCCACCUGGGGAGUACGCCGGCAACGGUGAAGCUCAAAGGAAUUGACGGGG